rnacentral:rRNA from 1 species
UACGUAGGGUGCGAGCGUUGUCCGGAAUUAUUGGGCGUAAAGGGCUCGUAGGCGGUUUGUCGCGUCGGGAGUGAAAACUCAGGGCUUAACCCUGAGCCUGCUUCCGAUACGGGCAGACUAGAGGUAUGCAGGGGAGAACGGAAUUCCUGGUGUAGCGGUGAAAUGCGCAGAUAUCAGGAGGAACACCGGUGGCGAAGGCAGGUCUCUGGGCCGAUACUGACGCUGAGGAGCGAAAGCGUGGGGAGCGAACAGG